ensembl:snRNA U1 U1 spliceosomal RNA
ACAUGUAUCUGGCAGAGGAGAUACCAUGAUCAUGAAAGUGAUUUUCCCAGGGUGAGGCUUAUCCAUUUUAUUCCAGAUCUGCUGAACCCUGUGAUUUCCCCAAUUGUGGGAAACUUGACUCCAUAAUUUGUGGCAGUGGUGGCCUGCAUUCACAAUCUCCUC